AUUGUAUGUCUUACUUAUUUAUUCAUUUGACAUUUUAAUUAGACACUAGCAGUAUUGUUUUCUUUGAAUACAUUUAAAGGUCCUAGAUUUAUUUCUUUUUGAUGCUCAUCUUCUAACUCAUUCCCUCCUAUCAAUCUCAGACUGCUGUAAAUAAAUGAUUUUUUGCCUUUUUUUUUUUUUUUUACUAUUAGUUAUCAUAUUUAUUUUUCUUAAACAAGCUGUACUGGUUAUACAGUCUGAAUUUGGAGAAUAGACGUCUUCAUUCAGGAGGGGAAAUUGAGCCAAGUUUGAAUAUAAUCAUUGGGUAACAAAUCCAGAAGAUUAAGUUACUAAGGAGAACAUGCAAAGUAAACACUUGCAUUUUAUGAACUACCUUCAAUUUAAAUAGACAACUGGGUAACUGUAUAUGACAUGUUUUGGGAGUAAGACCUGUUAAACCUACCUACUUCCUACUGUUUUCAUUUGAAAAAUAAAUCAAUUAUUAAACAGUUAUUCUACACAUUAAAGACUGUAAGUGAUUUAACCUUG
rnacentral:lncRNA from 10 species